CCGCCACUCGUAUGGCUUCAAACGGUUUCGUGAGAUGAAGUUUAUAGUGUACACUUUAUCGCGCUGAUAAUAGACGAAAGCUACGUAGAAGGAUAGUAAAGUUGCUUCUCUCUUUCUCUCUCUCUCUCUCUACGUAGAAGGAACGACACGGGACAACACAAGCGCGGUUCCUUCUACGUAGCUUUCGUCUAUUGUCAGCGCGAUUGUCAGGCCCUUUGGCUCUUCUAGAGGUGAAGUUUGUUUGCAGGCGGUCGCUGCUUGCCAUCUGCUUGCACAGCGUGAGUUAGUAGCGCGGUCGAGUGUCUUCAAAGGAGCGUGAAAUUUCAUCAGAGGCAUUUCUGUGCAAUAUCCCUGUAUCUGGAACAAUCAACGCGCGGUGUCCGGAGGAAUGAUUUGCACCUGUUAUGCAUGUUUAGGAAAAUAUGUUGCCGACAUCUAUAGAGGCCAAGGCAGCUACUGUCUGAAAGGGAAAAAAAAAAACAGGAUGUCAGUACUAUGGUAAGCAAAAAAAUAACAUAUACAAUAGCCUUAAUGAAUUAUUCAAAACUGUUAAUAAUUAACAAGGAAGCACACAGAAAACAGGACCAGCUGUAACUUAAUUCUAAGUGUAAAA
rnacentral:lncRNA from 1 species